ACUGUUCCGCUGAAAUUGUUAUGAGAAAGAUCCACAUAUCUCAAGUCAUAUUGGUAGUAAAGGAAGGUAGGAAGUUCAAGAUUGAGUUGUUGAGAUGUAAUGCACUUUGACAAACUGAUGCUGGUCAAUUGAAACUUUGGGACUGAGGUAUAAAAGGAAGGUUCCAUUACCAUCUUGUUUUCAUCACCGGAAAGGACUUUGAGGUUUGAAAGGUUUGCAAAUGGUGCGAAUGAUAGUGGAAUUUGAAAAUGGUUUGCUGAAAUAUGUAACUCACGAAGAGAUGUCAAGUUACUGAAACAAUGAGGAAGCAUCCCCUCAAGUCAAUUUGACCCAUAAAUUUAUUUACCAUGAUUAGGUAAGGGACCGAUAAGUCCACAAUCAUGUAAAGACAAUGUUUUAAGAGAAGCGAAUACUCCAAUGCUUUGCAAAAUGUUGGUGUUGAGAGUAGAUCCGUCAAAAUAUAAUUCCUCCACAUUGCUCGACACAUUUAAUUCUAUAGGAUGGGAAGAGGUAUUAGAUGUUAAUAAACGUAAGCUGUUUUGGAAAAGAACAUAAUGACUUUCACUUACCUUGAGUAGCCAGAGUCAUGUUCAGAUAAUUGUAUUGUAGAUGAAAGGCUUUAACUGAUGAGAAAGCCUCCACUAAAUUUUGUAAUGGAAUGCUUCCAUCGGUGAAAGCGUGAUAAAGAAACAAAACUUUCAAAUUUCUCAAUCCCUUAUUUUCUGUAAGUGAAAGAAAUAUAUAAAUAUUUGUUUUCAUCAAUAAAAUAAAAUUUUAAUAGAGAAUGUCCAAAUCUUAACAUAACUAUUUAUUCAUUUUAUUAAUUAAACUAAUCCUUUUUUAGCAUUCUAAGAUAAAAUAUAAUUUCAAAAUAAUUUUUUUCUUGAUUCAUAUCAGAUUUAAAUAUGUUUGAAAUUAAUUUAGCAUUUAAUUCCUUAAUAUUAGUAUUUGGUACUAGUAAUGGAGUUUUUUAACUCUACAAGUGAAGUUAAAAAAUGGCCAGUAACCUAUUUCUUUUAAAUAUUUCUUUUUUUAAUAUUUUAUUAUACCAUAUAAUAUAUUUGUUAUUAUCUCAAUCCUACUUAUGAAGUUUAGAAUUUCAUUAAUAGUACCACCCCGAUUUUUUUUAAAAAAAUUUGAUAAAAGAAAAGAAUUUCAUUAAUAGUACCCAAUAUUUUCCCUUAAACUUAAUUUACUUUGUACUCAAUUAUAAAUGUUAAGAAAUAUUUUACAAUCUAAUAAAUAAAUUUUUUAUUUUGAAUUUUAAAAUUUAUGAAUUCCGAAACAGACUUUCAGCAUCUCAAAUUCUCUAUUUAAAUUUCACCUACAUAGUUUUUUUUUUUUUUUGGAAAUUCUUCAAAAUCUCAUUUAUUUAAAUCAUGGUUCUAUUAUAAGAAAGAAAAUUUUAAACUAAAAAAAUAUUAUUUUUAUUUAAAUCUAAUGUGCAUCUUUUUCUCUUUACAAAAAUAAAUUUUCAAAAUUCAAGUCUAACUAUUAAUACUGUUGAAAUUAUUUUAUUAAAUCCAUGUUCAUUACGUCAUCUUUUAGUUGCAUUGCUAACAAGUUCUUUUAUUUCAAAAUGUCAACACCAAUAAAUUAUUUUUGAAAAAUAACAAUGUUAAUAAUUGAACUUGGAUUUUGAAAUUUAAAAAAUAGAGGGAUCAAAUUCCCAAAAACAAAAAUACAAGAAUUAAAUUACAAAAAAGUUAAAUCACAUUUUUUUUAAACCAAAAAGUUAAUAACAUGUGCAUUUUGAAAUUAAUAAAAAAGUUUGAAAAAAAAGUUUAAGCACCUCAAAAUGUAAGUUUAAAUUUCAUAAAAUUGAAGUUUUUUUUAAAAUUAUUCAAAAUUGAAAUUUAUUUAUUUUUGGCCAAAAAAUGUCAUUUAUUUAACUCUAAUAUGUAUUUUUAUGUUUUAUACUAUUAAAAAUAUAUGAAAUUAAAAUAUAGUUAUAUUACAUAUUAUAAUAUUUUGCAAUCUAAUAAAUAAAAUUUUUAAUUAAAUUCUCCAUAUUAAAUCAAAAUUUUAAAGCACUAAAUCAUUGCCCUAAAAUUGUCAAAAUACAUCCUUUUGAAUUUUAAAAUUUAUAAAUUCCGAAAGAGACUUUCAGCUUCUCAAAUUCUCUAUUUAAAUUUCACCUACAUAGUUUUUUUUGGCAAUUCUUCAAAAUUUCAUUUAUUUAAAUCAUGGUUCUAUUAUAAAAUAGAAAAUUUUAAACUAAAAAAAAAUAUUAUUUUUAUUUAAAUCUAAUGUGCAUAUUUUUCUCUUUACAAAAAUAAAUUUUCAAAAUUCAGGUCUAACUAUUAAUACUAUUGAAAUUAUUUUAUUAAAUCCAUGUUCAUUACGUCAUCUUUUAGUUACAUUGCUACCAAGGUUUUUUUAUUUCAAAAUGUCAACACCAAUAAAUUAAUUUUAAAAAAUAACAAUGUUAACAAUUGAACUUGGAUUUUAAAUUUUAAAAAACAGAGGGAAAUUGACGAAAAUAGAAAUACAAGAAUUAAAUUACAAAUUCGUAAAGAGUAUGUAGACCUAUCACAUUUUUUAAACCAAAAAGUUAAUAACAUGUGCAUUUUGAAAUUUAUAAAAAGUUUGGAAAAAAAUUUUUAAGCACCUCAAAAUGUAUGUUUAAAUUUCAUAAAAUUGAAGUUUUUUUUUUAAAUUAUUCAAAAUUGACAUUUAUUUAUUUUUGGCCAAAAAAUGCCAUUUAAUUAACUCUAACGUGUAUUUUUAUGUUUUAUGCCAUUUAUUUUACUCAAUUUCAAAAUUCAAGUCUAAUUAUUAAUACUGUUAAAAUUGUUUUAUUAAAUCCAUUUUCAUUAUGUCAUUUUUUAGUUACAUUGCUACCAAAGUUUUUUUAUUUCAAAAUGUCACACCAACUAAUUAUUUUUAAAAAAAAUUAACAAUUUUAACUAUUGAACUUGGAUUUUGAAUUUUUUUUUUUAAAAUAGAGGGACUAAAUUCCUAAAAAUAAAAGUAUAAGAAUUAAAUUACAAAUUUAUAAAGAGUAUGUAGACAUAUGUUAAUAACAUGUGCAUUUUGAAAUUUAUAAAAAGUUUGCGAUGGAAGUUUAAGCACCUCUAAAUGUAUGUUUAAAUUUCAUAAAAUUGAAGAUUUUUUUAAAUUAUUCAAAAUUCAUAUUUAUUUAUUUUUGGCAAAAAAAUGUGAUUUAUGUAACUCUAAUAUGUAUUUUUAUGUUUUAUACUAUUAAAAAAAUAUGAAAUUAAAAUAUAGUUAUAUUACAUAUUUUCUCAUAAAUAUAUGUUUUUAUUUAUUUGUAAUAUCAUUGUUUUUAUUGUUAUAAUUAUUUUUUAUCUCAUAAAAAUUAAAUAAAUUAUUUUAAAAAAUAUAUUUUUACAAACAAAAUAAUUAUAAACAUUAAUAUUUUAAAAUUAAGAAAAUUUUAAAGAAUUUUAAUUUCAAACUAAAGUUGAAACACAUUAUAAUGGAGGAUUUAGAAAAUGUUUCACCAAACUCAUAUUUUACUUUCAAGUAUGAUAUGAUAUAACUUUAUUAAUAUUUAUGACAAUAACGGUCAUUAUAAUAUCUGAGAUAAAAACUAAAUUUCUAAAUUUUAAAAAAAAAAGGAAGUUUAAUUAAAUGAUACCUUGGUGGAUCACCAAAUCUUUCAAUUCAUUAUAUCCCAUAUAUAGUUCCCUUAAGUUGAUGAAUGCUUCCAAAUCUAGGAAAAAAAAGCAACAAAUCAACUUCAUUAUAUUCUCUUAAAACAUUAUUAUAUUCUUUGUUAAAAAAACUAAUAUUUUUACCUUUCGUAUCUAUUGAUCCUUUCAAUUGAUUGUAAUUUAUGCUCAAAGAUUUCAAAUUUGAAAGCUUGUUAAGGGAUGCAAAUACACUAGUAUUGAAGAGAUUGUAAUCUAAAUAAAGCACUUCCAAGUGGGUCAACUCCAAUUUUGAAUCACCAUCUACAAAAGAUUUAUAUAAUUUCAUCACUAAAAUGAAUUGGCAUAAAAUUUAAUUAUAUGUAAGAAUUUAGGUAAUUGGUUAAAUAUAAAUGCACACCUUUAAAGGAUUGAAAGCUUUCAAUUUGAUUCCAACGUAAAUCGAGUUUCUUCAAAUUUGUUAAAUUGCUCAAUCCUAUACAUAUCCAUGUCCAAUUCAAAAAAUCAUUAUGUUAAUAAUUUUAAUUUCUACUUAAUAUUUUAAUGAAAUAAAAAAAAAGUAUAUCUAAAACUUGAAGUGAAGAUGAAAAACCUCAAACGUGAAAUCUGAAUGCUCAAAUUUGAAACAAUUAAUUUUAAAAGGUUCUAGAAAGAAUUAUCAAGAAAAACAAAGUUAUAGCUUUAGUACCUUUAGUAUCUAAUGAGCCUUGCAAACUGUUGUUGUACAAAGUCAAAGACUUUAGGCUUGAAAGCCCCUGAGGAAAGGAAAUUGUGUUGUUCCGAAAGAGAUUAUUACUUAAAUCAAGUUCCUCUAAGUUUGUUAGCCUCCAUUGUGUUCCAUCUAUCAUUGGAAGAAAAUAAUUAGUAUAGUUAAUAUCAUUCAAUAUAUAAAUAGCUAGGAAAAAUGUUUGUUUGAGAAGGAAGAGCCAAUUUACAAGCUUUCCCAUGAAUUGAUAAGCUACAUUUUACAAGUAAAACUUAAUUGAUUCAACAUAUAAAUACUUUGUUUGAGAUACCUUCCUACUUAAUUUACUCUAUUUUGAAAUAUUGCAACAUUAACUGUCCCUUAAACAAAAAUUGGUUUUAAAGUAAAAAAGAAACAUAUAAAACCAGUCUACCUUUAAUAUGAAUUGACAUAUAAAUACUGUACUUAUACCUUGGUUUGAGAUGCUUUCAAUGCUGUUGUCACUUAAAUCCAAGUAUUUCAAGUUUGUCAAAUUAUUCAACCCUAAAAUUCAAUCCCAAGUAUUGAUUAGUUAUAUAUUGAUCGUAUGAUGAAAUCAAACUUGAAUAUACAUAUUGAUUUUUAAAGUUGAAAAGAAACAGGUAAAAUCAGUCUACCUUGAAUAUGAUCCAGCCUUCCUUUCAACUGAUUACGUCUCAAUCUUAAAGUCUUCAAGGAUGAAAGAUUUCUCAUAUGGAACAAAAUGCUAUUCUUCAAAGAAUUCCAACUUAAAUCAAGAGUUUCCAAGUUAUUGAGUCUUGAAAGCAAUUGAAAACCUGAUAUAUAUAUAUUUACUUGUUAAUUGUUUUUUCUUUCUUAGCCAUAUGAAAAUUUUACUAAAGCAAAAGUGGAAUUACGACGGAUAAAAAGAAUGGAAAACUAGGUACCAAGCCUAGAAGACCAUCCUCAAACUCCACUAUACAAAUAAAAACUAACACUAGACCAAACUUAAUUUACCUCUUAGAUGACCUGAUCCUUCAAAUUUGUUGCUUGAUAAAUUUAAAUACCGGAGAGAUGAAAGCUCACUUAAAGAUAACAAAAUGCUGUCAUUCAAGUAGUUUUCACUUAAGUCAAGGAUCUCCAAAUUACUCAAUGUGGAUGAUAGUUUUCCAAAGCCUGUAGAAGUGUUCUUUUAAAUAUAUACAAGCAGUUAGUAACUUUUCUUCAAUAAAAUAUAAGUAAUUGUAAAUUAUCAAUGGUGAGAAUAGUGGAAUAGUAAAAGAUGUAAUUAAGGAAAAAUUAAAGGCACGACCUUCAUUUUCAAGGUUACCACCCAUGGCAUUUCCCGACAAAUAAAGUCUCUUCAAUUCCUCAAAGGGAAGAAACAUAGAGGCAUUGAGAUUCCUAUUAUCCAUGUCGUAUUCCAUAUUGUAUAACCAUAUUGUAGAAUUAAGGGAGAGUUGUAUGAGUCUCCUAGUGGUGGUGUUACACUCAACUCUUUCCCAUUUACAACAAUCUGAACCCUUCACCUCAACCCAACUUUGCAAUUGAUUACCAUAAUUGAAGAAAGGCUUGAGAUGCAAGAGAGCGAUUCUCUCAUGCUCCAAACAAGCAUCAGUAGUACACCAACUGCAUCUUUCUAACACCAACAACAUUACUGCCAUCCUAAUAAACCAUAAGUACCAUUUCCACUCCAUCAUCAUCAUCAUCUUUCUGUUUUCACUUCUCUCUCAGCUAUAUGUUACUUUUUUUUAACUUCUAUAUGUAUAUAAUCUAAAGAAGCCUAAGCUUCUUAUUUAUAUACAAGCAGAACAUACUGCAUCCCACUAAUUCACUAUAAUAUAAAAAUAAUAUAUAAUUAAUUAAUUCCUCAAAAAUUGGAUCAAAAUCUAGGCUUUUUAUUUACGUAAAUUCCUUAUUGCAAAAACUCCUGGUGGAAAUUCGUUAGGAAAGGAUGAAUGGACCACAAGAAUGUUGAUGUUAAUCUUGAAAAACGAAUGGCCAAAAAAAUAUGAAAAGUGAGAGGUGGACAUAAAAUCUUGUGGUUGGGGUUGCAAAAGUCUUCAUGUGGCUUUCUUGUGAGCUUCAUUUAUACCCUUCUUACGCAUAUACAAACUUAGUCUUGACUUGGCUUUAUUAAUGGAAAAUUUAGGUCUUCAUUUUUGGUUUCAUUCAUGAAAAUUUGACUUCUUUGAUUUUGAUUUUGCUUUUAUUCUUGCACAUUUUAGGUUUUGAUUUUGAAAAUUUAGUUUUUUUCAUCUCUAUUAUUAUAAAAUUUCUUGAUUUAAUUAAUAUCAUGAGUUAAUUUAAUAUUUUAAAAAAUAAAAUAUUACAUUCACUAUUUUUUAAAAAAUAGGAGUAACUAUAAAAUUUAAUUAUUUAUAUAAUAUUUUUAUAAAAAAACUAUUUAUUUCUACUAGACCACUACUUUAAAACUAUUAAUUAUCAUAUAACUUCUCUUUAAUAAUUCACUAUUCUUUGAACAUUCAUUAGUUUUUGAAACAUAAAAUUUAUAAAUAAUUAUUUUUAAUAUGACUUGAGUUUUACUUGAAUCAUUUUUGUAAUUAGUUAAUUAAAUUGGGUUAUUUUUAAAAAAAAUCCUCUUAACUAAUAGCAAAAAGAAAAAAAAAGAAAAAAAAAAGCCAUCAUGUAGAAAAUUCUGGUUUGUUGGAAAGAUAAAGACUUGCACCAUUACUUUAAAUUUUGAAAUGUUCAACUUGAUAUUGACAUCUGAUAAUAUGUACAAAUUUCUCAUUGUUUUGAAUUUUAGUGAUAUUACACAUAUGAUAAUAUGUUUGUCACACCAAAUUUUGAAAUAGUAGAACUUAAUGAAUUUAACAAAUACUUAAUGAAUUUAAGAAAUAUCUAAAAUAUCAAAUUAAAGUCUAGGAAUUAAAUCUACAACUUCAGUAAAGUACAAGAACUAUUGUAGAAUUAAACCUUUAUAUAAUAAUUUCCUUCUAUGAACCACAAUUCAAGUGCACCCCACAAGCAACAUUAAAAAAUUGGCAUGUGUCUAUUUUUUUAAAAAUAUCUAUUUUUUUAAUAUUAUAUACUACACCUCUAUAGGAUACGUGUCAAUCCUUUAACUCUCCUUAUGGAAUUUAAAAACUCCACUAACAAUGUACCAAAUAUUAAUCCUAAUUAUUAUACUAUUCAUGGAUAAAGAUAAAAUAUAAUAUUUGCUUAAAAAUCUCAAUUAUAUAUAUUUGGUCACCCAUUGUGAUGUAAUAUAGCACCGUCUACAAAAUAGUUGGAGGAAAUUGUUAAGAAAAUAUCAUUACAUAUAUCAACAUUCGCAUAAUUCAUUGCAUUAACUUUCAAAUGUUAACUAUUGACUUCUGCGUCAACUUUGAGCUUAUAUAGGUCCCCCUCAUGGAAAUUGAGAAAAACAAAUUAAUAUGUAUAUUCUUGUGGGUGGAAAUUUAGUGGAGAUGCCCAUCAUCUUUCCUAAUUAAUAAAAAUGAAGACUUAGAAAAUGUGCAAUCAUAAUCCUAGUCGUCGUUAUGGCCCCAAGAAUAGUUAUCUUAAUUUGUCUCUCUUCAGGAUUAAAGAUAAAAAAUAAAUUUUAUAAAGUUAGAACUAUAAUUUUAUAAUUAUAUUAACAUAUAAUUUCAUAAAAUUUUAAAAAUGUAUCUUUUAAUUUUUUAAUUAAAUUGAUAAUUCGUUAACUCAUAAUAUUAUUUUAUUUUUCAAAAUAUUUACGAGAACGAGUUCGUAUUCUAUUGUGUGGAAAAUUUUAGUACAGAUUAUUAAGUUAUUGGAGAAGCCAAAUCCAACUUGUUUGACCAAGAAAGUUUUUGUCGCGUGGAAAAUGGACAUUACCAUUUCCUUGAAUGACCUUCAAUUUAAUGUAUUCACACCAAAUUUCAUUAAUGAGUAAAACAAAUAAUGAAUAAUAAUGAAAAUUGGAGGAAAUUGUUAAGAAAUUAUUAUUACAUAUAUCAACAGUCACAUAAUUCAUUGUAUUAACUUUCAAAUGUUGACUAUUGACUUUUACAUCAACCUUGAGCUUAUAUAGGCCCCCCUCACGGAAAUAAUCUCAUAAUUAAUGCCUGAAAAAUUAUUAUACAUCAAUUUACAGUUUUAAUCCCUAGACUUACUCAAUUGAAUUAAAAUUUUAGUUUUUAUUAUUUAAUUUGAUAUAUUUUGUUCCUUUUAUGGAUUUAUUAAAAUAACUAACAUGAUUAAUUCUCUAACAUUUAAAAAUUAAAAUUAUGUGGUUAUUAAAAUUAUGAUGCUAAAUUGAGAAAAAUAAAUUAAUACGUAUACUCUUGUGGGUUUCAUUUUUUUUUUAUAAUUAAGUAUUAAUUUGUGUUUCUCAAUUUAGUAUUAUAAUUUUAAUAACCACAUAAUUUUUAUUUUUAUUUUUAAAUAUUAGAGAAUUAAUAAUGUUAGCAACAUAAGGCAGAAUGUAACUUCAAUAAUGAACCAAAAGUAAAUUGAAACUACUCAACACAACGGAUUAACCCACCAAAUCAUAAUUGAAUAUUAAAACGUAACAGAACAACCGAUAAAUACAAAUAAAAUAAUAAAGGAAAACACACACUAAAUUUAAGAGGUUUAACAGAAUGCCUACAUUCUCCGACAUCAACGCCGUAUGAUAAGAUUUAUAAAUUAAUGAAACCCUCAAUUAAAAGACUUUUCCAAAGUAAAUAAUUGUAUACAAAUCAAGUGGGAGAUCAAAUUUGGGCUGCUUCUCAAGUGAAGACUUUAAGCCUUCUUCUAUGGCAAGGUUGAGGGGGCAACCUUUUAAUCCCAAAGCCAACACCAACAUUUACUAUAUCUAGUUUCUUGGGGCAGUAUCUUAAGACUAUCUAUCAACUUCACUGCAGAUUAAAUGAAGGAUUAUCAACAAAUUUGAAAAUGAUAAACUCAUCUUACAUCUAAAAAAUGGGUCCACCACUCAAACCCAACCCCCCUUGAUUAAAAACAAUGUUACUUGGACUCAGUUAUAUUCUCAUAUCCAUGUUCGUAAAUGAUUAGAUAUAAAAAUGAAGAGUAGGAUUAACUUAAGUUGAAUCCGCUCUGUUUACUGUUGGAUCCAAGAAUCUAAUUCUUUCACAAUAUUAGUCUUAAGCAAAGCUGUGAUGAUAGUCUCACCACCUUACAUCCCAAAGCAAAUACUUCUACAUAUGUAUGCAUGGGUGCCUAGCAAAUCUAAAGAGUAGGACCGCUACAUGUUUUAACCCAAGGAAUAUCUGCUUGUGUAUAUAACUUUUAUAUCGAAAAACAUGUCAUAAAUGCAUAGAGAGAAGCAUUUGAAAAAGAUAUAAACUUGGUUUUUAUAUUGAAUUUUAUUUAAUAAAGCAGAAUAUAAUUUAAAAAAGAUAUUUAAUACCAAAUAACUUGGAGAUGGAUAGAAGAGUGAAUAUAAUUAAUUGACUACAUGUCUACCACAAUAACCGACAAGACAAAGGUUAUAAGCUUCCUUCACACAAAGAUAAAAGCUUUAAUCAAAAUAUAAAAUAAACAAAAUCCGUCUUAGCACCAAAAACAAUCAGGUGCUCACCUGAUAUAAAAGAUCAUAGCAGAAUUUUUUUCCGAAGACAACAUGAACAAACUUUGCAUAAAUCUUCAUGAUAGUUAAACACAUCGCUUGAAGAUGUAAUACGCAAGAAAGCUGCCUCCAAUUGAGAAACGACAGGUGGUGAUGCAUUUUCCGACAAAAGAAAACCAAGAUCUUCGCCAAUAUGGAUUUAUGUAAAGGACCGCAAAAAUCGUCAACAACACAACUACAUAAGAAAUAAAAAAACUCACACAAAAAUCAUAAGUAUCAAACAAACCAUCUUCUCCUUUAUCAUCUGAUAUAGUUGAUAUUGUUGAUGGCGAAUUGAUUCUGGAGCAACUUUUAUGCAGUAUAGCACCACAGAGAAAAGGGUUUCCCUCAUAACUGCUUUCAAUAAAGGUUCCGAAUUGAGCUUUUGGUUCUGGAAUACUACCUGACAAAUUGUUUUGUGCCACACUGAAAACCUCUAAAGAAUUCAAUUCUACCAAUUGAUUAGGGAUUUCACCACUCAAGCUAUUGUAAGAAAGGUCCAAACUCUCAAUCUGCUUAAGGUUUGAGAAUGAUGAGGGUAUAACUCCUGUUAAGUUAUUGUCCGACAAGUUUAAAGAAUGGAUUUGACUCAAGUUUCCUAGUUCAGGUGGGAUUUGUCCAGUUAACUUGUUGCAAGAUAAAUCAAUCCCUGUCAUGUCCUCAAGGAUGAGACCCCCAUAUGAGUAGGACCUACUCUUUGUUGUGAACUGUACCCAUUCUUCCAUGUAGGUUUCAGGAUACUCUUGUAAGUCAUCCCCACGCCACCGUGUUUCCUUAUGGUAUGGUAAUAUGUCUUCCAAUACAUCACUUGCCUCAGAAUAUGAUGUCAAAGUCUUCUGGUAUUUCGUUUUAAGAGUUAAAUUUCCCAAACAAGAAGGUAUAAAACCAUAAAACAUAUUAUGAGAUAGAUCUAUCAUGCUCAAGGAAUACAACUUGCAUAAUUGAACUGGAAUUCUACCAUGUAAAUUACUAGCUUUCAAGAGAAGGACACUCAAUGAAGAAAGUGUGCCAAUCCAUUUUGGAAUACUACCAAUCAAAUUGUUUCUGAUGAAGUUAGCUUCCAUGCAAGUCACAUGCAGGAAAGAAGCAGCACUUGAAGGCAGCAACUUGAACUCGACAAUGCUGUUCAAAUUCAACUAGUUGUGUUGAAUUAAGUUUGUAUUUUGUAAUUCAGUUCUUGUAGAAUUUAGUUGGUAAACUUUUGAUGUAAUUUUGUUGAUUGAUUGACUGAAAAAUCAGCAAAGUAACUUAAGCAAGCUGAUUAACAAUUUCCAAUGUAAUUUUAGUGGUGUUAGGUAGUUGAUUAGGUGAUAACUUGUUAGCUUUACAAGUUGACUUGUAUAUGUAAUGGCUUAAUGCCUUAUUCUUUUUGUUAAUGAAGAAUUCAGCUGGUUUUUCAUUAAAAAAAUUUCUCUUUCAUUUCUGUUUUUCACUUGCAAAUUUCUGUUUUUGUUCACUUGUUUCUUCUGCAAGUCUCGAGCCUUGCUAUCCAAGCAAGAACAAAGCAGCUUGCUACUGCCUUUAAACACCAACAGUUUCCUCCAAGAUCUAAUGUAACCAGUGAAGAGCUAUUAUAAAAAGCAAUUGGUAGUGGGCCACUUAGUCUAUUCCCGUGCAGGUGAACAUGCUUUAUGUCUGGGGGAUUAAAGCAGGUCGGUAUAGAGCCAAAUAAAUUGUUUUCAGAGAGAUCCAAAAAUUCCAAGUAAUUCAAGUUGCAAAAUUCCAUCGGAAUAGAACCCUCGAAACCAUUUUCAGACAAAGCUAAUUUCUCCAAAAAUGGCACAUUCCCUAUCAAUCUUGGGAGGUUUCCAUAAAACUUGUUAUUUCCGAGAUUGAUUUCCCUUAGUGAAGUUGGAAACUCAGAAAUGGAGACAUCAACAUUUGCCAUCUCCCCAGAAAAAUUAUUUCCAUCCAAAUAUAAUUUUAACAACCCAUUUGCAUUGAGAAUCACUGGAAGCACAUGUCCACUGAGGUUGUUGUUUGAUAGUCUCAAAAUGGUCAACGAGCUUUUUGUGAUUAACUCUUCAGGUACUCUUCCAGACAAUUGAUUGUUUGAUAAAUCUAAAAUCCAUAAAUCCUUCAUGCCACUCAAACAAGGAGGGAUAUCACCUUCGAAGGCAUUCUUGGAUAAGAAUAAUAGGCUCAAAUGUGGAAAAGUUGGACAUAUACUAAUCGGAAUCUGACCUUGCAAUUUGUUUUGGGAUAUGUCAAUUAAAGACACAUUAGAAUUAGGAGCUAACGAUAAUGAGAGUGGACCAGUAAAAGAAUUACCCAUCAAGAUGAGAACUUCUAACUUUGUGUUGUUUUCUAACAACCAAGUUGGGACUGUUCCGCUGAAAUUGUUUUGAGAAACAUCCACAUAUCUCAAGUCGUAUUGGUAGUAAAGGAAGGUCGGAAAUUCAAGAUUGAGUUGGAGAGAUGUAAUGCACUUUGAAGAACUGAUGAAUUUCAAUUGAAACUUUGGGACUGAGGUAUAAAAGGAAGGUUCCAUUACCAUCUUGUUUUGAUUACUCAAAAGGACUUUGAGGCUCGAAAGGUUUGCAAAUGGUGCGAAUGACAGCGGAAUUUGAAAAUGGUUUCUUGAAAUAUCUAACUCACGAAGAGAUGGCAAGUUACUA
rnacentral:lncRNA from 1 species